rnacentral:rRNA from 1 species
CCUACGGGUGGCUGCAGUGGGGAAUUUUGCGCAAUGCUCGUAAGAGUGACGCAGCGACGCCGCGUGAAUGACGAAGGCCCUCGGGUCGUAAAGUUCUUUUGACAGGGAAGAAAAUGCCUAUAAGUAACUGCGUAUGUAUUGUCGGUACCUGUUUAAGCAGCCCCGGCUAACUCCGUGCCAGCAGCCGCGGUAAUACGGAGGGGGCGAGCGGUGUUCGGAGUGACUGGGCGUUAAGAGUACGUAGGGGGUGUUGUAAGUCAUUAGUCAAAGAGUAGGGGUCAAAUUUAGUAAGGCUAGUGAUACUAUAAUACUAGAGUAUCAGAGAGGAUUGCAGAAUGCCUGGUGUAGCGGUGAAAUGCGUAGAUAUCAGGAGGAAUACCGUUAGCGAAGGCGGCAAUCUGGCUGGAAACUGACGCUGAGGUGCGAAAGCGUGGGUAGCAAACAGGAUUAGAUACCCUUGUAGUC